ensembl:lncRNA
GUAUUUACAUGGACACAUCUGUUCCGCAUAGAUUUCUAUCCGGAACAGAAAAUGAUCAUGUAUACGCCUCAUUCGGAAUACUGUUCGGCAUAGAUUCCAUGCCGAAUAGAAGAGGUGGUGUAGUCCGUUUUAAUCGCCAUGUAUACACAUUCCAAAUAGAUUGGGUUGCAGCCGCGGGAGUUCGCAAUUGGUCCACUGAGCUCCGUCGGUACGUUUAAGCACACCGAACUUGACCACCGUCAAGGAAAGUGGAUUUAUUGCCUAAUUCACGUCUUUGUUACCACGCCGUAAAAGUAGUCCGGGAAGCGUGUCCUGUUGCUAAGCGACGGGACAUGGGUGUUUAUUAAUGGGUUAGUGUCCGCAAAGUGUCCGCACGCGUCCGGGAUAACUGUAAAUUAGUAUGCUACUAGUACUUUUGCAGGCUGAACGUUAAAAUACUUCUUAACUUAGAGACCACUCUCUCCCACCAGUCUUGGCUGCGGACUCGCAUCCAAAUUCCUCUUGUUUGCGGCGGAGCUGGGGGUAAACAUUAAGAUCUGACGAGAAAUUGACGUAGCUGCGAUGUCCUCCUCCUUAAUUUAAGGAGCAGGCAGAGAAAAGCUCUCUCUGUGCUUUCAUUAAAAUUAAAUUUAAAAUCCCCGAUAGUGAUAAGAAAUCCAUUAUGUCGCCGCCGGUACAGAGAUGUGUCAGGUGUGCGCGAGAGACAUAACGGACACUUUUGUUACUGCCAUGUAUACAGUACAUUCGGAUCACAUUUUAGGAACAGAUCUAUGCCGCAUAGAAAUCUAUGCGGAUCAGAUGUGCCAUGUAAACCCGGCUACUAUGAAUUUCAUUCAUAUAUACAAUUUCAGAAGUGGAUGAGAUUCGAGAAAUAUCUUGUGUGGCAACCCGCUCCUCGAAUGAGCCGGGUUCCACGGAUAAAUGACGCUUGGCAGUGAGGGUUUAGCCGAUCACGGCAUUUAUUACAGACAACUUAAACCAUAUGAGGUACUCGCGGCCUCUAGGGCCUCCGUGGGCCUCUAGGGUAGGGCUGGCUCGGCCCGUGCUGUCUCGUCACUUGUCGGCCUUUCCGUCUGCUCCCGAGAGCCUUUUGAAGCGUCUCCCUGGCUGUCCAGCCAGGUGUCACUCAUCCCGCUGAUUGGGGUUCGGCAGGUGCUCUCCGUCACCGGCUGGUGGGUGACGGUGGUAUCGGCCAUCCCGGACCAACCCUCGGGCUGGUCUGGGCCGAGGUUUAAGUGGCGGGAUGCCACACUUGUUAUAAUGAGAAAGGAUGUCAAGGUUUGGGGGUUGAGGAACUAUUUUGAUCCUUUGUGGUAUGGCAACCCAGUCGCCAAAAGCAUACGUGGACAGCCUCACCUUUUUAAGGACAAUAAGUUAUGAGAGAAAUGCACAUUAACUUUUUGUUAUCUCAUAAGCGGUGUGGUGCCAGCUCCUUUUGACCUUUUGUCCCCAGACUACAAAAACGUGUCAACAGGCCAGCUGUGUCUACCCACCUUAAGCCACAAGUGUACACCUACAUCCCACAGAAAAUGGGGACUAGAAACAUAACCUCUGUCAUAUACAUUUACUCUACUGUUGAAGGUCACGCCCCUUUUCCCACCUUUUCGAGAUAGCUAGAGAUGCCAAAAUUUCCCGGGGUCCCGAGAAUGACACAUCAGAGAUUUGGAUUUCUAGCCCUUAGAGAAAAAAAGUUUGACAGCAUAGAAGACAUGAUCUACAAUCAGGAAUGCCAGAAACUCUGACAGAGCUACACAAUACAAUUCGUCAACAAUUUGAAAUUCAAAAAGACUUCCGUAUUCAGUUCAUGGAUCCUGACUUCAAUAAUGAAUUCAUGAAUGUUACGUCAGUACAAGACAUACAGGACAGAAGUACAAUGAAGUUGGUGUACAACAAUGUAGGAGUGAGUCCAUCUUCUCCACUGCAGAAUGCUUGCAGCCCUUCCUUGUCAUCUGGGUCACCAGUAAGCAGCAAAAAUACGGCCAGUCUUUCCCCAUUGCCAUCAGCGUCCCCAUUGCCAACAGAUUCUGAUAACACCAUCAUCCUGUCCCAUUCAGAUAGCGAACUGAGGGCACGUGCAUGGCCACGGGAAUUCUCAAUUCUGCGUUUUCCAUAUGAUGUAGAGCUUCAGCUUCAACGUGGAAAUGAGAGCUUUAGGGAAACUGGCUCUCUUAAAGAUCACACCAGGGCUGAAGUCAGACAUCUUGGAAAAGUUAGCAGAGGAAAUCUUCCAGUACACUGCAUAUCCACAGAACUACGAUAUGGUUGAUGUAGCAGGGGCAUUCAUCAAAAAAUAUCCCUGUUUAAAAGAACAAUCUGCCAGUGGAUACUAUGGCUGGAUGAUUAGCCUGAAAUAUAAAAUGGCAAAUUACAGAACAAAAAUGUGCAACAUUGGUUGUCCAGAAGUUUCCAUAAAUGCAUUGAAAAACUAAACGGUGGAUGACUGCCGCCCAGCCAAAAAUGUGAAGAAACCCAAAAAGGCGGAAGUAAACUAUUUUCCUUCAAACCCUGCCGGAGAAACUGAUGAAAGCCUAGAACAUUUAAGGGUUGAACUGUUAAACGAAGCAAGAAGACGAAGAGACAAUGCACCAUCUGUAUAAGAGAAGAUGUCGAGAACCUUUUCCUAUAGCAGGAUAGAGGUGGUGCAGGGAAAUCUAGGCGCCGGAGAGAUUAAAGCCAGGUGGCCUGCACUCUUCCGUACUGAUGAGAUACAUGCUGAAUUCCAGCGCAUAACAACAAUCCCUCUUGAAACUACCUUCAUGGCGCAGUUGGACAGCCAUUUACCCCAACUGACUUCCGUUUUACAGAAGAAGGGAGGCGUUUCUGGCCAAAAACUAGCCUAACACCUGGUGAUCUUGCAAGAGACUUAAGCAUCUAUCUGGGUGAGGAUGAUGGACAUCUCAUUCGGGAGUAUAUGGACAUCCAAGGAGACGAUAUCCAGAGAGAGAUGAGCAAACACUCCAUUGGGCAUCUUCAUCAGCAUGGAGGGUGAAGAAAUUGGACACGUUUGCAUUUCUGUGGAAGGAGUCGUCGUUCUUGACAACAUUGAAUCCCUAGCCAGAGCUUGUGCAUUGAUGCUGGGGGUCAUCUAUGCCCUGAACUUGGCUUACCCCAAGGAAUUGAGAGUAGAAUUUUUCCAAGCUGCUUUUGUGAACCCCUGGAUUUAGAUUUUUGAUUGAUUUUUGAUUUUGUCGGCUUAUCGCAAUUUUACAGCCUAAAGGACACAGUUAUCCAGACUGAUGUCCUCCUGACUGUUCUUGUCCUCCUGAGUUUUCUGUUUAAAGGUGACAUAUUAUGCCACCAGGUGUGAGUGUGUUUAGCCGUUACAAGCCGUCUUCUGACAUCACAAGUGGGCGUGUAUCCAGCACACCUCUAGGUGGACACGGCCACUUGUAAUGUCAGAAGAGGCCGAUUUUCAAAACGGCUUGUGACGGCUAAACACACUCACACCUGGUGGCAUAAUAUGUCCCUUGAGCUGCAUUGUUUGAGCUCAUGUGUUUGGGGCAAAAGAGUUAACGUCAACUGAAGAAGAACUUCGGUACUGCUCUUUCAGUUUUUGAGCAUUGACUAUCUUCCAGCUGUGGGUGGUCUGGUACAAUUGUUAAAUUUGUUUCAUAAGGGUUUUGAUAGGAAGAAAGGUUCUCGAUUCCUCACUUUGACGAAAUCUCCACUUUGGUUAAGGUUAUCGGCGGAUCCCAAUUCUACAGCCUAAAGGACACAAUUAUCCAGACUGAUGUCCUGGCUGUUUAUUUAUUUUUCUGAGUUUUCUGUUUAAAGCUGACAUAUUAUGCCACCAGGUGUGAGUGUGAUUAGCCAUUACAAGCCGUUUGAAAAUCUGCCUCUUCUUACAUCACUAGUGGGAGUAUCCACCUAGAGGUGUGCUGGAGCAACGUCUUCUACAGUCCACUGGGUAGCUGGUAGACUGAUCUAUCCAGCACACCUCUAGGUGGACACGGCCACUUGUGAUGUCAGAAGAGGCAGAUUUUCACAACGGCUUGUAACGGCUAAACACACUCACACCUGGUCGCAUAAUAUGUCUCUUAAGCUGCAUUAUUUAAACUUGUGUGUUUGAGGCAAAGGAGAUCAUUUAUUUGCACGUUUUCAAUACUUGACAAAAUAAGUGUUGAAAAUAUUUUGUUUGCUUUGUCUGAUUAUUAAAUGUAUUUGGUCCAACUAAAAUAGCUUAAAAUGUUUAAUUUAAUUGAACGUAAUUUUAUGAUGUAGAAAUAAAACUAUUUAGUUUAUCUGUAUUAACAUAAUUCAG